rnacentral:lncRNA from 1 species
CUCCGGACGAAGGGUUCCUGCUCGGAGCGCUUCCCCCCCCGCCGGGCACCGGUUGCCACUCCGGACCCCCUUCUCCUCGUCCCCGCCGAGUUUUGGGGCCGCCCCCCCCGGCCGGUGCCCUCCGUACCGCCGCUCCCGACGGCAGCCCCGCGCUGGUGGGGGGGGGGGGGGGGAUGGAGGAAGGGGAUCAAUCUUUUCCGCUCCACUUCCCAUCAGAAAAGAUUAAUCAGAACCUGUAACUUUUCAGGAAACAUAACUGUAAAGUGCCACGGAGCGGUGGGAAGGCGGCCCGGAGAGGGUGGGCAGCUCAGCCCCCGGGCGCCGGGAGCAGCGUCUCUCAGCAUUUGCGAGACAAAGGCUGGAUGGACGUGGCCGAGUUCUCUCCCUCCCGCUCCCCAGUCUUGGUUCCGCCGGCGGGGCAGAGGAGGAAAGGAAGCGGAACGCCGACGCUUUGCCGUCCCGGCCGGCUCUGGGUGCUCGCUUGCCGCCUCCAGGCUUUUUCUUAGGGGGCAGCGAGGUGAGGGAUGCUGCCACCUCCCGCGUCCCCCUGCAGCGUCCCCGGGCAGCGCUGGCAGAGCCUCCCCUUCCCCGCCUAACACUUGGCUGAUAGCAAGGAGCGUGUCCCCUUCCAAAGAGCCCCCCCGUGUCGGCAUCCCCAUUGCGCCGCAUCUCCCCCCUCGGACCCUUCCCCGGCCCUUACCCCGACUCUGAGCCCGAAAUGGUCCCAGCAUGAGUGACAUUGGCUUUCCUAAUGUAAUGACUUAUGAAAGAUAUAAUCAUGUGUUAAAUUGAAUCCUCCGCUUAACUGUUAAUGGUGUGCUCUGGGCACAUUUACGUAUUAGAUGCUAUGGUAACUAAUUACCACUAGAAGAAGGGAUAAUACACUUUCCAGACUUUGACAAAUAAUUAUGAGUGUUCACAUCCCUGCUAGCAGCAGUGGCGGCGGAUCUGCUGGAAUGAGUAAGUGACUAAAUGAAUGGGUAAGUGAACUUGUGUGCAUGGAGGGACCGCAUAACGGAUAGUGGUCAAGUGAGUUUUCUUAUUAAAACCUUUAAUGAAAAUGUGAUUUAGAGUGGAAGGGGGGGGGAGGGGGGAAGCGCGACGCUGCCUCUAAACGUAAUUAAAUCGCGUAAUAUAAACAUCGGAAACAUAAAUAAGUUUGCUUUUAAUUAAAACGCGGCAGUCAAAGUAAAUUAUCCACGUUCCCGGAAACUUCGCAGCAAUUAACACUCGGGUUUUGGUGCUGGAGGGGGGCCGUGGGGGGGGGGCAAAAUCAACGACUUGGGACCCCACGGCUCUCUCCAGCGCCGCUCGCGUUCCUAUAGGCCGAGGAAGGACGGAGGUUCCCAGCGGAGCCGCUCCCGGCCGGGGCGGGACAAAACUUGGGGCAGCACCGCUGAAGGGCCGAGCCCAGAGCUGCGGGCAGCCCCGCGUCCCAUCAAGCCCAUGUCACCGCGUCUCCAUCAACCCCGUGACCCCCCCGCCCCCCAGCCCAGUGUCCCCGAGCCGCCGCCCCCCGGGGCCGUUCGGACCCUGCCCCGGAGCGGCCGUCCCGCAGCCUCGGAGGGGUUAACUCCUUCCUCUGUCCUCGCAACCCGACUCCGAGACGUGUCAUAAAAUAAGAAGUGAAUUGAUGGUCUGUUUCGAGCACUUUACUGCUGUGUUUUUAAAUUCAUAUACGCACAUGUAAGAACUAUGAUCCGUGGAUAAUUCGAGAUGCUGUAGGAAAACGAUGCGGUUUAGCUUCAACACAACCGUUUGCUUACCGUUUGAAAAUAAAGAGAAAGAUGCACUUCGAACA